CCCUGCCAUUUGUACACACCGCCCGUCGCUACUACCGAUUGGAAGUUUUAGUGAGGCAUCUGGACCUGCUGUCCAAGGAAGGGGCAACUCUUCCAGGCUGGCGGGGAAGUUUGUCGAACUCAAAUUUC
rnacentral:rRNA from 1 species